rnacentral:misc_RNA from 1 species
UGGCUCUCGCAACGAUGAAGAACGCAGCGAAAUGCGAUAAGUAGUGUGAAUUGCAGAAUUCAGUGAAUCAUCAAAUCUUUGAACGCACAUUGCGCUUCCUGGCAUUCCGGGGAGCAUGCCCGUUUCAGCAUCAUUGGAAUAUCAUAAGAUGCCCAGCUGGCCCUCCAAAGCAAGCAGUGUGUUUUAUGUUGAUGGAUCCCGGUGAUGGAAUAUGCAUCGGGAUUCUGAAAGCCAUGGUGUGGGUGCAGCAGUCGUAACGGCCUCAGCUGGCUCCAAGUGCAGCAGACUUUAUUGUAUCUCACUUUGUGACAGCAUUUUGAGGCCUAGGCUGCGGCAAACCUCUCCUAAGAUCAUAAUGAGAGCCCAUUCUAUUGAGUGGAUUCUCAUGACUUGGUCUGAAAUCGGGCAAGAAAACCCGCUGA